UACGUAGGUGGCAAGCGUUGUCCGGAUUUACUGGGCGUAAAGAGCGCGCAGGCGGUCGUUCAAGUCGAGUGUGAAAGCCCCCGGCUCAACUGGGGAGGGUCACGCGAUACUGCUCGACUCGAAGGCAGGAGAGGGAAGUGGAAUUCCCGGUGUAGUGGUGAAAUGCGUAGAUAUCGGGAGGAACACCAGUGGCGAAGGCGACUUCCUGGCCUGUUUUUGACGCUGAGGCGCGAAAGCUAGGGUAGCAAACGGG
rnacentral:rRNA from 1 species